AUUGAACGCUGGCGGCAUGCCUUACACAUGCAAGUCGAACGGUAACGCGGGGCAACCUGGCGACGAGUGGCGAACGGGUGAGUAAUGUAUCGGAACGUGCCCAGUUGUGGGGGAUAACUGCUCGAAAGAGCUGCUAAUACCGCAUACGACCUGAGGGUGAAAGCGGGGGGUCGCAAGACCUCGCGCAAUUGGAGCGGCCGAUAUCAGAUUAGGUAGUUGGUGGGGUAAAGGCUCACCAAGCCAACGAUCUGUAGCUGGUCUGAGAGGACGACCAGCCACACUGGGACUGAGACACGGCCCAGACUCCUACGGGAGGCAGCAGUGGGGAAUUUUGGACAAUGGACGCAAGUCUGAUCCAGCCAUGCCGCGUGCGGGAAGAAGGCCUUCGGGUUGUAAACCGCUUUUGUCAGGGAAGAAACGCUCUGGGUUAAUACCUCGGGGUAAUGACGGUACCUGAAGAAUAAGCACCGGCUAACUACGUGCCAGCAGCCGCCGUAACAC
rnacentral:rRNA from 1 species